rnacentral:misc_RNA from 1 species
AAGUCGUAACAAGGUUUCCGUAGGUGAACCUGCGGAAGGAUCAUUAUCACGUAUCCACGUAUAACCAUUGUGAACUGUACUUUUCCCUCUGUCGUGCAUGAGGUCGUGAGAUGAAUAACAUUUAAGGGCUAAGUUCUGUAGUAAUUUAUAGCCUGUUAUUCUGUUUCCAUGGAAGAAGAAGAGUGUUGACUUGUCGACUCUUUUUUUCUAAACAUACUCGUACACUUCAGAGCGUAUCAAAAUUACUAUUUUUAUUGUAUUUAACAAUUCUAACCCAAUUUUGAACAUUGACUUAACUUUUUCAUACGCUUAGGCGAUGAAAUUCAUUACGAAACAUAAGAACAACUCUUAGCAACGGAUAUCUUGGUUCUC